UGUGUGUGUUUCGGGUGUGUGUGUAGUGUGUGUGUGUAGUGUGUGUGUGUUGUGUGUGUGUAGUGUGUGUGUGGGGUGUGUGUGUGUAGUGUGUGUGUGUAGUGUGUGUGUGUAGUGUGUGUGUGUAGUGUGUGUGUAGUGUGUGUUUCGGGUGUGUGUGUAGUGUGUGUGUGUGUGUGUGUGUGUAGUGUGUGUGUGUAGUGUGUGUGUGUAGUGUGUGUGUGUAGUGUGUGUGUAGUGUGUGUUUCGGUGUGUGUGUGUAGUGUGUGUGUGUAGUGUGUGUGUGUAGUGUGUGUGUGUAGUGUGUGUGUGUAGUGUGUGUGUGUAGUGUGUGUGUGUAGUGUGUGUGUGUAGUGUGUGUGUGUGGUGUGUGUGUAGUGUGUGUGUGUAGUGUGUGUGUAGUGUGUGUGUGUAGUGUGUGUGUGUAGUGUGUGUGUGUAGUGUGUGUGUGUAGUGUGUGUGUGUAGUGUGUGUGUAGUGUGUGUGUAGUGUGUGUGUGUUGUGUGUGUGUAGUGUGUGUGUGUAGUGUGUGUGUAGUGUGUGUGUAGUGUGUGUGUAGUUGUGUGUGUGUGGGGUGGAUGCCUGCUUCACAGGAGGUUGGUGGGGCCUUAAUUGUGGUAAUGGCUGUUUGUUUCCAUUCACACCGUUACGGCCAUUAUUAUGAGCUGUCCUCUCCUCAGCAGCCUUCUAUGGCCUGCACAUA
ensembl:lncRNA